AACCAAUGGCGACGCGCCUCCCGUUUUGCCUAAACCGCCAGAGGAGAAGGAGCCCGAUCAGUUUGAUGGGAUGAAUGUUACGUCUGAGAAGCUGAGUCACCCCACGGCGAACCGGGCCAAACCCCCGCAGAGGAGACCACCGUCAGGCCUGGGUGCAGCUGCGCCGACUGUGACGAACCAGAACGAACAAGAUUCUUCAGAGAAAAAGCCAGAGACAGACAGGCUUCCUGCACUGAUAAAGGCUGUGGAGAACGCCUUGCCCACACCUUUGAAGUCUGACUAACCUCAGAAAAUGCAGCCUCCACUUCGACCUGCAUCACUGAAGCUAACUGUGAGCAACAAAGCUGUGAACCACCAUCAAGAGCCAAGCAUGGAAACCCUGCAGGCAGAUAUCAAAGAACUGAAGAUGUCGCUGGAGCUUCUUCAGACACGACAUGAGCGAGACAUGCAGGAAGUGAAAGAAGAACUGAGGGAGGAAAGAAGCAAACGACUGGCUCUGCAGGAGGAAGUGGAGCGGUUGAAGAUCAAGCACUAGUCUGAUCAUCAACUGUCGCUGUGACAUGCUGUAUUCAGGCUCUGGUACUGUGAAUUUGAACAUCCUGAUACUGAAAUGCAGGGAGAAAACCCUCCAGCUGCAGACAGACAACUGAGCUUUAUUUUAGCUAAUAACUGGACCAUUCCUCAAACUGAACAUUCAGAUCGACUAUAAAACAGUCUUGUGUUUAAUACCAAGUCUUUUUGAAUAUUGGCUGCAGUAGUUUCUUCUGUUUCCACUGUCAUUUUUUUUGCUUUGUUUUUAUGAAAGUGUUUUAUUGUAUUCUACUUUUAAUUCAACUUGUAAUAUAUGGAGCUGUUUUUACAUGAAACGCCCAGACAUUUUCUUUCACAGAGGAAGAAAAUGUCAAGGUGACUUUAAGUGAAUGUUAAAUAAAUAUUUCUGUUUAAAUCUUGGGCUAAUAUUGAGUUCAAUUCUCU
rnacentral:lncRNA from 1 species